rnacentral:tRNA from 2 species
CAGAGGGUAGUUUAAUUUAGAAUCUUAGCUUUGGGAGUUAAGGGUGGGAGU